rnacentral:lncRNA from 1 species
CUGGAGAAGGAGUCUAGUGACGAUGACACACCUUUCGAUGCUUCUAACUGCUUGGAUAAAGUGGAGUCUCCUGUUAUUUUUGACUUAGAAGAUUUAGACACAGAAACAGAUGGUUCAAAAGUGGGAUGUGUCGCUGCACAAAAUCCCAAGAGGCUUCAGCGAAUGAACAGCAGCUUUUCAGUUAAACCGUCUGAAAAAACAGAUGUUGUAACAGGAUUUGACCCUCUCUCGCUCUUGGUUGCUGAGACUGAGCAGCAGCAGAAAGUAGAAGAGGAAGACGAUGAAGACGACAACAAGAGCAUCUCAACGCCAUCUGCCAGGCGUAAUUUAGCUGAAGAAAUUGAGAUGUACAUGAAUAACAUGAGCAGUCCUUUGACAAGCCGUACACCAAGCAUUGAUUUACAGCGAGCAUCUGAUGAGAA